GUUACAAUGAACAAGAAUCCCUAUUAGGGAUUGAAAC
rfam:Limnoraphis robusta CS-951 contig209, whole genome shotgun sequence.